AGCUUUGCGCAGUGGCAGUAUCGUAGCCAAUGAGGUUUAUCCGAGGCGCGAUUAUUGCUAAUUGAAAAAAAUGCUUUUAUCUCUUUUAUGAGUGAGAGAUACAGAGACAGAGAGAUAAAAAGA
rnacentral:snRNA from 11 species